CCGUGGCGGUUCUCCGGACUAUUGCGCGUAAACGAGCGCACAGCGGUUUUUUAAGUCUGAUGUGAUAGCCUUCGGCUCCACCGAAGAAGUGCAUCGAGAAACUGGGAAACUUGAGUGCAGAGUAGGACAGAGGAACUCCAUGUGUAGCGGUGAAAUGCGUAGAUAUAUGGAAGAACACCAGUGGCGAAGGCGGCUGUCUGGUCUGUAACUGACGCUGAGGCUCGAAAGUAUGGGUAGCAAACAGGAUUAGAUACCCUGGUAGUCCAUACCGUAAACGAUGAAUGCUAAGUGUUGGAGGGUUUCCGCCCUUCAGUGCUGCAGCUAACGCAUUAAGCAUUCCGCCUGGGGAGUACGGCCGCAAGGCUGAAACUCAAAGGAAUUGACGGGGGCCCGCACAAGCGGUGGAGCAUGUGGUUUAAUUCGAAGCUACGCGAAGAACCUUACCAGGUCUUGACAUACUAUGCAAAUCUAAGAGAUUAGACGUUCCCUUCGGGGACAUGGAUACAGGUGGUGCAUGGUUGUCGUCAGCUCGUGUCGUGAGAUGUUGGGUUAAGUCCCGCAACGAGCGCAACCCUUAUUAUCAGUUGCCAGCAUUAAGUUGGGCACUCUGGUGAGACUGCCGGUGACAAACCGGAGGAAGGUGGGGAUGACGUCAAAUCAUCAUGCCCCUUAUGACCUGGGCUACACACGUGCUACAAUGGAUGGUACAACGAGUUGCGAACUCGCGAGAGUAAGCUAAUCUCUUAAAGCCAUUCUCAGUUCGGAUUGUAGGCUGCAACUCGCCUACAUGAAGUCGGAAUCGCUAGUAAUCGCGGAUCACAUGCCGGGGGAAAAACCUUUCCCGGGCCUUGUACACACCGCCCGUCACACCAUGAGAGUUUGUAACACCCAAAGUCGGUC
rnacentral:rRNA from 2 species